rnacentral:rRNA from 1 species
UACGAAGGGGGCUAGCGUUGCUCGGAAUUACUGGGCGUAAAGCGCACGUAGGCGGCUUUCUAAGUCGGGGGUGAAAUCCUGGAGCUCAACUCCAGAACUGCCUUCGAUACUGGAGAGCUCGAGUCCGGGAGAGGUGAGUGGAACUGCGAGUGUAGAGGUGAAAUUCGUAGAUAUUCGCAAGAACACCAGUGGCGAAGGCGGCUCACUGGCCCGGUACUGACGCUGAGGUGCGAAAGCUAGGGGAGCAAACGGG